CUUGGUCGGUUGGAACUGACGACAGACUGCCGUGACGGCAAUUUGAUGCGUUGUUCGUGAUUUUUCAUUAAUGUGGUAGCAUCAACAAUGCAGCAAAAUAAAGUUUCCUUUUUUUUGCAUUUUUAAUUUGAUCUUUUUUCUGAGAAAAUUUGUGCGACGACAACGUACAAAAGUUAUAGUGAAUGAUCAAAUAUGGUGUGAUGUUAAUUAGCAGUCGCACAUCGGCUAAGAGCGUAUAGUACAUAUUCAUAUUUCUUAUUUUGACUCUACGCCUCAACAGGAGUUAAAGGAAAUUAUAUAAAAUAUUCAAAUACAAACUAUUACAUUAUUCAACGAGUGUCGAUCCACCGUUUCAGAUGUUAUGUCCGCCACUGUGAAACUACUUAUGAUCAUAGAUACCUACUCACGCAGUACUAAGUACAUAUUUAAUGGAAGCAAAUAUAAUCAGAAUAAUUGAAAAUCGUUAUUUAAAAAGAAAUUCUCAUCAUCAUUAAGAAACGUCAAACGCCCCCUGUUGGCCUGUUGGCCUGUUGGCCACUGCAGGUCGUUAAGGAACCGCCAACAACAACAUGAAAUCGCACAUAUUAUCAUUGUCGAAGGCGAUGGCAGCCAGGCAGGCAGCCAAGCAAUCGGUAUGGAGGAAUGGUCGGACAAGCGCAAAUAUUUAAAUAUGUGAGGCUAAAAAUAGAAUUUUCAAUAUUUAAAAAGAGAGGGAUAAACGAAGAAUGCAAAAAAUGCGAAGCAUAAAACGAAAAUGUAAAAAAGAGAUCUAAAAAAAAAACAUUAAAAUUUACAGCACAACUCGUAAACUAAGAACGAAAGAAGGGAAAGUGGGCAGACUAAACAACCGGCGUAAACAAGAAUAGUGGGUACAAUGGUGAGACGACAGGUUAAGCAUACUUAGGUGAUAUGGCUUUGUUUGUGCUAUAGAGGGGUGUGUGGAUUGGUGUCAAUAUGCAGUCAAAGCAUGUAAAUGCGGCCGGCAAUAAAAAGUAUAUAGUAACCCACUACGCGUUGGCUUUCCAGACGGGCAGACGUGCGACACAUUUCCGCGCCCCUAAAAGCUUCUGAGGAAAAAAAACCACCAGCAGCAGUAGCAACCAACCAACGGCAACAUUGUUGCCGGGUCGCACCGGUUGUCAGUUGUCGGUCAAUGGACGCUGGCAGCCGGCUGUUGGUUGCCGGUUGCUGUUAAUGAUGCACGCUUGGACGAACGGACGAGUGAUUGGACUGUGGAAAAGUAGACUACCAGACAAUUUGGCAGACGUUAACACAAACAUACACAUACAUACACAUGUAUAUGGAGUUUGUUGGAAGAGGGCGAGAAAUGUGCCUGGAUCCGAUGGUGGUGGCAAACAGAUGACGGGAUGGACUAAGGCUCAAUUCGUCGCAUGCUUUUACACACAUUUACUACAUAUGUAUGCAUGUACGUACAUAUGUAUGUACAAAUGUAUGAGUGUGAGCCAAAGGUGACGACUGAACAACAACAACAACUGAGUUGCUUUGACGGCCCGACUGUUUUUGCUUGUGUUCGAUUUCUUGCUCUGUUUGUUGUUGUACAAUAAUUAUUUUCUUGCUUAUUUAGUCGCUUUUUGCCGCCAAAAUGUUGCACGUUGCUCUAUAGCUUUACGAGGUGCUACUUAAUGUUUAUUUGCUUAAAUUUUGUAAAUUUUCUGUUGAAUUCGUUUUACUAGCGGAAUGUGGGUGUGAGAGGAUAUAUUGUGAAAUGCAAAGAAACGAGUGGCUAUGUAAGAAAUAUGUAUACAAAAUAUUAUUAAAACUCCUUAUCACUACUUAUUAAUUUGGUCCUUUGCUUUAAAAUCACAAACAGAAAAACAAUUAAAUUAUAAAAUCACUAAAAAAAUAAUUAUUAAGAAAGUAAAAAGCAAAUAAAAAAAUAACAGAAAAAUUAGCAAUAAAACAAGCGCAGAAUAGUGGCCCAAGAACACGAGGGUUCACAUCAAGAUAAGUGGGUGUCAUAAAGGAAAUUCCCUUUGAAUCGCAUACAAAUGUACGUCUAAGUUGAUAUCCAAAUGACAGAUGAAUGAAGAGUGUAGCAGGAGUUCCAUAUUAAAAAAGCAUACGAUAUUAAUGUUUACAGACUAAAAUGUAAUUAAAUUGUCGCUUUGCAUAUACUCAUGUAUUUAUAAUAAUGUGUGCGACAAAUAUUUAGCGAGUGGCAAAAUGACAGCUGCAACAUUUUUCUAUGUUGUCUUCAUUAACCGUCAAAGGUAUACUCACAUUCAAGCGAAGAUACAUCAUACAUAUGUACAAAGGUAUUUGAAUAUUUACCACCUCUAUAAAAAGCGUCGUUUGCAAGGUAAUUUUAAUAAAUGCACGCAUACAUUUAUUUAUUAUGUGUGUAUGAACUGAAUAACCGAUCACAGAGCUAUGGGCAGACGUGCAAGCUACUGUAAAUAUUUCGUUUUAACAGAAAUACGCAGUUGUAGUGCUUUUAAAAUUAAAUUUAAAAUAUACAGUGAUAUAAAAAUUUAUUGUAUGGCAUGUUGAAUUCUCAAGACCCCUAAUUUAUACUCAUUUUUUGGCUUCAGUUUUUUCUCGCUAAGCUUUGGUUGAGAAAACAGUUGCCUCAAUUCAAUCCUCCAUUUAUGGAUACUGAUAAUACUUAGGAGAACACAGCAAAAAUUUUGUACGGAAGGUCUGAGAAAAUCACACCGAUAAAUGACAUUAUACAAAUAUAUUUGUCAAAAGCCGCAGUUUCAUUUACUGAAUGUUAAACAUAACAUUUUUAUUGACCUUGCGAUAUGAAUGAAGGAUCUCCCCUUUAAAUUGUAUUAUUUACUACCAUUGUAUUAUUUACUAUUCCAUAUUGAUAUCAAAUUAAAUAUUUUUAUAAUCCACUAUUUACGCAUAAUACGAAAUGAAAUAUAAAGAUGAAAUGAAAUGCAAUUGUGCGCGUUUUAUUUGCUUUUUCGUGACUCGUUGUUUGUUUUUCGUUGAGCUAUCUGUUUUUGUGUUUAACACCAUUCAUGGGCAGGUGUAUAAGCCGAGUUGCUUUUGUUGUGGUGACUACAUUUUUCCAUAUAUACAAAUCAUACCCACACAGGCGCAACACUUGUGGUUGUUGUUUUUUGUUUGGUUGUGUGCCAAUAUUUCAUGACGGUUGUGAAACAUUGCGAAUAUCACAUACGUAUUUCCGACAUAAUACUGAAAAAAACUACGAUACGUAUUUUAUAUAAUUUAAAUAUAAAUGCAAAUGAACCGACUAACUCUACAUUUGACAUACUCUAUAGGCACGUAUAUAUAUUUCUUUGUACAUAGUACGCGCAAUUACUAUCGGUUAAUAUUAUCGAACACAACUCUUGCAUUGUAUUUGUUUGUUGUUGCAAUAAUAGU